CUGUCUCCACCCGAGACUCAGUGAAAUUGAACUCGCUGUGAAGAUGCAGUGUACCCGCGGCAAGACGGAAAGACCCCGUGAACCUUUACUAUAGCUUGACACUGAACACUGGUCCUUGAUGUGUAGGAUAGGUGGGAGGCUUUGAAGCGUGGACGCCAGUCUGCGUGGAGCCGCCCUUGAAAUACCACCCUUUAAUGGCUGGUGUUCUAACGUAGACCCGUGAUCCGGGUUGCGGACAGUGUCUGGUGGGUAGUUUGACUGGGGCGGUCUCCUCCCAAAGAGUAACGGAGGAGCACGAAGGUUAGCUAAUCCUGGUCGGACAUCAGGAGGUUAGUGCAAUGGCAUAAGCUAGCUUGACUGCGAGAGUGACGGCUCGAGCAGGUGCGAAAGCAGGUCAUAGUGAUCCGGUGGUUCUGAAUGGAAGGGCCAUCGCUCAACGGAUAAAAGGUACUCCGGGGAUAACAGGCUGAUACCGCCCAAGAGUUCAUAUCGACGGCGGUGUUUGGCACCUCGAUGUCGGCUCAUCACAUCCUGGGGCUGAAGUAGGUCCCAAGGGUAUGGCUGUUCGCCAUUUAAAGUGGUACGCGAGCUGGGUUUAGAACGUCGUGAGACAGUUCGGUCCCUAUCUGCCGUGGGCGCUGGAGAAUUGAGGGGGGCUGCUCCUAGUACGAGAGGACCGGAGUGGACGCAUCACUGGUGUUCGGGUUGUCAUGCCAAUGGCACUGCCCGGUAGCUAAAUGCGGAAGAGAUAAGUGCUGAAAGCAUCUAAGCACGAAACUUGCCCCG
rnacentral:rRNA from 1 species